rnacentral:rRNA from 1 species
CUACGGGGGGCUCCAGUGGGGAAUAUUGCACAAUGGGCGCAAGCCUGAUGCAGCCAUGCCGCGUGUAUGAAGAAGGCCUUCGGGUUGUAAAGUACUUUCAGCGGGGAGGAAGGGAGUAAAGUUAAUACCUUUGCUCAUUGACGUUACCCGCAGAAGAAGCACCGGCUAACUCCGUGCCAGCAGCCGCGGUAAUACGGAGGGUGCAAGCGUUAAUCGGAAUGACUGGGCGUAAAGCGCACGCAGGCGGUUUGUUAAGUCAGAUGUGAAAUCCCCGGGCUCAACCUGGGAACUGCAUCUGAUACUGGCAAGCUUGAGGCUCGUAGAGGGGGGUAGAAUUCCAGGCGUAGCGGUGAAAUGCGUAGAGAUCUGGAGGAAUACCGGUGGCGAAGGCGGCCCCCUGGACGAAGACUGACGCUCAGGUGCGAAAGCGUGGGGAGCAAACAGGAUUAGAUACCCGCGUAGUC